GCAAGUCGAGCGACUGAUUAGAAGCUUGCUUCUAUGACGUUAGCGGCGGACGGGUGAGUAACACGUGGGCAACCUGCCUGUAAGACUGGGAUAACUCCGGGAAACCGGAGCUAAUACCGGAUAACAUUUUUUCUUGCAUAAGAGAAAAUUGAAAGAUGGUUUCGGCUAUCACUUACAGAUGGGCCCGCGGUGCAUUAGCUAGUUGGUGAGGUAACGGCUCACCAAGGCAACGAUGCAUAGCCGACCUGAGAGGGUGAUCGGCCACACUGGGACUGAGACACGGCCCAGACUCCUACGGGAGGCAGCAGUAGGGAAUCUUCCGCAAUGGACGAAAGUCUGACGGAGCAACGCCGCGUGAGUGAUGAAGGCUUUCGGGUCGUAAAACUCUGUUGUUAGGGAAGAACAAGUACAAGAGUAACUGCUUGUACCUUGACGGUACCUAACCAGAAAGCCACGGCUAACUACGUGCCAGCAGCCGCGGUAAUACGUAGGUGGCAAGCGUUAUCCGGAAUUAUUGGGCGUAAAGCGCGCGCAGGCGGUUUCUUAAGUCUGAUGUGAAAGCCCACGGCUCAACCGUGGAG
rnacentral:rRNA from 2 species